CGACCGGCGCACGGGUGAGUAACACGUAUCCAACCUGCCGUCUACUCUUGGACAGCCUUCUGAAAGGAAGAUUAAUACAAGAUGGCAUCAUGAGUCCGCAUGUUCACAUGAUUAAAGGUAUUCCGGUAGACGAUGGGGAUGCGUUCCAUUAGAUAGUAGGCGGGGGUAACGGGCCCACCUAGUCUUCGAUGGAUAGGGGUUCUGAGAGGAAGGUCCCCCACAUUGGAACUGAGACACGGUCCAAACUCCUACGGGAGGCAGCAUG
rnacentral:rRNA from 1 species